rnacentral:rRNA from 1 species
UCAGACGAUGCGUCAUGCAUAUCAAUAAGCGGAGGAAAAGAAACUAACUAGGAUUCCCUCAGUAACGGCGAGUGAAGCGGGAAGAGCUCAAAUUUGAAAUCUUCAAGGUUCUACCUUGACGAAUUGUAGUUUAAAGAAGUGUUUUCUGUUGGAGUUUUGGUAAAAGUUCUUUGGAAUAGGACAUCAUAGAGGGUGAGAAUCCCGUAUUUGACCAUUAUUUCCAGCUUUGUGAUACACUUUCAAAGAGUCGGAUUGUUUGGGAAUGCAGUCCAAAAUGGGUGGUAAAUUUCAUCUAAAGCUAAAUAUUGGCGAGAGACCGAUAGCGAACAAGUACCGUGAGGGAAAGAUGAAAAGAACUUUGAAAAGAGAGUUAAACAGUACGUGAAAUUGUCAAAAGGGAAGCGUUUGACACCAGUGUUGUUUUCUCGAAAAUCAAUUAAAAAAGGCAGGAUUUUGUGUUGUAUUGACUUUAUCAGCUUUCUGCACUCUUUUCUUGUCUUUUUUUAAUGCACUUUUCGUUUAACAAGUCAACAUCAAUUUCUUUUGUUGUAAAAGGGUCAUUGGAAGGUGGCUUUCUUUUCGGAGAAAGUGUUUAUAGCCUUUGGCCUCUGCAAUCGGAGAGAUUGAGGUCUGCAGCGUAGAUCCUUCGGGGUUAGAUACAUUUGUGCUAAGUUAUAGCCUUUCAUAGACAACUUGUUGACUAUGAUCAGUCAUGUAGCUUACUCGCUUAUGCUAUUUUACCUACGCUUAGGAUGUUGAUCUACAGAGCGAGAGU